CAGUCGCCGCGGUAAUACGAAGGGUGCAAGCGUUAAUCGGAAUUACUGGGCGUAAAGCGUGCGUAGGCGGUUUGUUAAGUCUGCUGUGAAAUCCCCGGGCUCAACCUGGGAAUGGCAGUGGAUACUGGCAAGCUAGAGUGUGUCAGAGGAUGGUGGAAUUCCCGGUGUAGCGGUGAAAUGCGUAGAGAUCGGGAGGAACAUCAGUGGCGAAGGCGGCCAUCUGGGACAACACUGACGCUGAGGCACGAAAGCGUGGGGAGCAAACAGGAUUAGAUACCCGAGUAGUCCCUGUCUUUUAUAC
rnacentral:rRNA from 1 species